AGCAAUCUGACUGACUGAGUGAUUAUCUCUGAACACAAUCUAACAUGCUUUCCUGAUUGCAUCAUGAUUGAGCACACCCAGGAAAUGAGUCAUUCAAAGAUACUCAGAAAGAUGCUUUGUGUGUUGUUCCCUGGUACUUAGAGAAAACAUCAAGAGCGAAUUACUCUUUCUACGGUAAGAAAAUUGAAGCCAGGGAAGGUUCACAAUUGCAAGAAAUACUAAAUUUCAUCUCCGGGUCAGUGAAGAUAAAGAAAAUGGAGAAAUGUGGGCUUAAAGAGGAAGGCAGUUACACGGACAUAGAUCCAGGUAUCUAAUAGAUCUGACUUAAGUGCCUCUGUGCUAUGUUAUUUGGCACAUGAAAAUGCAUGACCACGUUAUCUUCAUUGUGAAUAUUUUACGCCACUUGAAUCCAGCUUUACUAUUGUUAACGCAAAAUAUCUGAGACAAGUCUCAGCCAGUUUAGGAAGUUUAUGUUGCCAAAGUUAAGGAUAUGCCUGUGACACAGUCCGAUUGUCCUAAACAGUUCCCAGCCUGACUUUUCCCUUUAGCUUAGUGAUUUUGGGGUCCCAAAAUUUAUUUUCCCUUCACACUAUUAAUACCAUCUCCAUCUCCACUAUUUUUCCCCCUCCCAUUCUCCUCCUCCUCCUCCUUUUCUUGCUCCUCUGCCUUUUUCUUCUUGUUCCGUGCCCAUUCUGGUUUUUUUUUCAACUUUCCUGCACUUUUUUGUUUCAAUGUGCUUCCCAGCACUUAGUUGGGCUCUGAUUUUAAUCAACUGCAAGACACUAUCUGUCUUGCAGUAUUAUAGUAUUUGUUUAUUUCCACUAUUCUAAUUUUGAUUUAACUUGAGACAUCUUGUUUUAUGCUUUCUCUUUUAACACUUACUUUGUUUUCUCAUGUUUUGGAAGAGGUAUUUAUUGAUUCAACAAUAUUUACUCAAGAAUAAAUGUCAUAUAUUGUGACA
rnacentral:lncRNA from 1 species